CACGCUGUAAACGAUGACGACUAGGUGUGGGGGGGUUCAGUCCCUUCCGUGCCGCAGCUAACGCAUUAAGUCGUCCGCCUGGGGAGUACGGCCGCAAGGUUGAAACUCAAAGGAAUUGACGGGGGCCCGCACAAGCGGUGGAGCAUGUGGUUCAAUUUGAUGCCAACCCAAGAACUUUACGUGGUGAUGACUUGCCGUCACCCCCACCCUCCUCCGAGUUGACCCCGGCAGUCUCUCGAGAGUCCCCACCACCCCUAAGGGCGUGCUGGCAACACGA
rnacentral:rRNA from 1 species